AUUGAACGCUGGCGGCAGGCCUAACACAUGCAAGUCGAACGAGUGGCGGACGGGUGAGUAAUGUAUGGGAAAGUGCCUGAUGGAGGGGGAUAACUACUGGAAACGGUAGCUAAUACCGCAUAAAAUUGGAGGGGCCCAAAUGGGAUUAGCUAGUAGGUGGGGUAAAGGCUCACCUAGGCGACGCUCCCUAGCUGGUCUGAGAGGAUGACCCGCCCCACUGGAACUGAGACACGGUCCAGACUCCUACGGGAGGCAGCAGUGGGGAAUAUUGCACAAUGGGCGCAAGCCUGAUACAGCCAUGCCGCGUGUAUGAUGAAGGCCUUCGGGUUGUAAAGUACUUUCAGCGGGGAGGCGUUACCCGCAGAAGAAGCACCGGCUAACUCCGUGCCAGCCGCCGCGGUAAUAC
rnacentral:rRNA from 1 species